UGUGCCGUGGAUUAUUUGGUUAAAGUUCCUGUUUUGUAAAGAAGGAGAUCCUGGGUUCAAAUCCCAGUGGUGCCU